UGUGUGUGCCAAAGAAAAGCCAAAUACAUUUCAAAUGCCAUUCAUAGAUCGCUCUCUAAAUAUCUAUACUAAAUAUUUUCCAUAUAUUAUAUAUGUACAAAAAUCUGAUCGUGUGUGUGUGUGUGUGUGUGUGGCGCAUUUCAUAUAUAAAAAUGUCUACAA
rnacentral:sRNA from 1 species